rnacentral:rRNA from 1 species
GACGAACGCUGGCGGCGUGCUUAACACAUGCAAGUCGAACGGAAAGGCCCUGCUUUUGUGGGGUGCUCGAGUGGCGGACGGGUGAGUAACACGUGAGUAACCUGCCCUUGACUUUGGGAUAACUUCAGGAAACUGGGGCUACUACCGGAUAGGAGCUCCUGCUGCAUGGUGGGGGUUGGAAAGUUUCGGCGGUUGGGGAUGGACUCGCGGCUUAUCAGCUUGUUGGUGGGGUAGUGGCUUACCAAGGCUUUGACGGGUAGCCGGCCUGAGAGGGUGACCGGCCACAUUGGGACUGAGGUACGGCCCAGACUCCUACGGGAGGCAGCAGUGGGGAAUAUUGCACAAUGGGCGGAAGCCUGAUGCAGCAACGCCGCGUGCGGGAUGACGGCCUUCGGGUUGGAAACCGCUUUCGCCUGUGACGAAGCGUGAGUGACGGUAAUGGGUAAAGAAGCACCGGCUAACUACGUG